CGUAGGGUGCGAGCGUUAAUCGGAAUUACUGGGCGUAAAAGUGUGCGCAGGUGGCCGCGCAUGUCGAGUGUGAAAUCCCCGGGCUUAACUUGGGAAUUGCGCUCGAAACUAUGUGGCUAGAGUGUGGCAGAGGGAGGUGGAAUUCCACGUGUAGCGGUGAAAUGCGUAGAGAUGUGGAGGAACACCAAUGGCGAAGGCAGCCUCCUGGGCCAACACUGACACUCAUGCACGAAAGCGUGGGGAGCAAACAGGAUUAGAAACCCUGGUAGUCCACGCCCUAAACGAUGAUGACUAGUUGUUGGGGGAGUUAAAUCCCUUAGUAACGCAGCUAACGCGCGAAGUCAUCCGCCUGGGGAGUACGGUCGCAAGAUUA
rnacentral:rRNA from 1 species